rnacentral:rRNA from 1 species
UACAGAGGGGGCAAGCGUUGUUCGGAAUUACUGGGCGUAAAGGGCGCGUAGGCGGCCUGCUAAGUCGAACGUGAAAUCCCCGGGCUUAACCCGGGAACUGCGUCCGAUACUGGUGGGCUUGAAUCCGGGAGAGGGAUGUGGAAUUCCAGGUGUAGCGGUGAAAUGCGUAGAUAUCUGGAGGAACACCGGUGGUGUAAACGGCUUUCUGGACCGUAACUGACGCUGAGGCACGAAAGCGUGGGUAGCAAACAGG